GUCGCAAUAUAAAUUACGGAUAAGUAAACAUAAUACAUGACAUAUAUUUUUUCUAGGGUUAUUUUCGUUGUACCGCUGUGGAAUGAGUCUAAAAACAAGACGCAAUAAAUUAAUCGCGUCAUCGUGCCGAAGAACGGGUCACAUCACGCGGGCAUUCUUUGGGUGUAUGGAGUGAAACGUGGGGACAGCAUGACCCCGUGGUUUUUCUGUACGUAAUGCGCAUGUAUUUAU